AUUGAACGCUGGCGGCAUGCUUUACACAUGCAAGUCGAACGAGUGGAGAACGGGUGAGUAACGCAUCAGAACGUACCGAGUAAUGGGGGAUAACUGGCCGACAGGACAGAUAAUACCGCAUAAUGUUCCAGCGGCCGAUGUCGGAUGCGCUGGUUGGGGGGGGAAAGGCCCACCAAGGCGACGAUCAGUAGCGGGUCUGAUAGGCUGAUCCGCCACACUGGGACUGAGACACGGCCCAGACUCCUACGGGAGGCAGCAGUGGGGAAUUUUGGACAAGGGGCGCAAGCCUGAUCCAGCCAUGCCGCGUGUCUGAAGAAGGCCUUCGGGUUGUAAAGGACUUUUGUCAGGGAAGCGGUACCUGAAGAAUAAGCACCGGCUAACUACGUGCCAGCAGCCGCGGUAAUAC
rnacentral:rRNA from 1 species